rnacentral:rRNA from 1 species
UACAGAGGGGGCAAGCGUUGUUCGGAAUUACUGGGCGUAAAGGGCGCGUAGGCGGCCUGCUAAGUCGAACGUGAAAUCCCCGGGCUCAACCCGGGAACUGCGUCCGAUACUGGCAGGCUUGAAUCCGGGAGAGGGAUGCGGAAUUCCUGGUGUAGCGGUGAAAUGCGCAGAUAUCAGGAGGAACACCGAUGGCGAAGGCAGCUCGCUGGGACGGUACUGACGCUGAGGCGCGAAAGCGUGGGGAGCAAACAGG